rnacentral:rRNA from 1 species
GAUGAACGCUGGCGGUAUGCUUAACACAUGCAAGUCGAACGGACUCUUCGGAGUUAGUGGCGGACGGGUGAGUAACGCGUGAGAAUCUGGCUUUGGGUUCGGGACAACCACUGGAAACGGUGGCUAAUACCGGAUGUGCCGAGAGGUAAAAGAGAAAUUGCCUGAAGAUGAGCUCGCGUCUGAUUAGCUAGUUGGUGAGGUAAAGGCUCACCAAGGCAGCGAUCAGUAGCUGGUCUGAGAGGAUGACCAGCCACACUGGGACUGAGACACGGCCCAGACUCCUACGGGAGGCAGCAGUGGGGAAUUGUCCGCAAUGGGCGAAAGCCUGACAGAGCAAUACCGCGUGAGGGAAGAAGGCUCUUGGGUUGUAAACCUCUUUUCUUAGAGAAGAACAAAAUGACGGUACCUAAGGAAUCAGCAUCGGCUAACUCCGUG